GUUACCAGAAAGCAAGUUUUAAAUUUAAAAGACGUGUUGCCUUGAGACGUGUUUUAAAUUAAAUCUCAGUUGCCUAUGCCUUGGAUUGCUUAAUAAAUAAUUUAGAUAUAACAUGUCUGUGAUUGUUUCAAUAGAGAAAUUGUAUAAUAAUUAUGAAAUGUAUAAAUUUGUGCAUGAUAGGAUAAUUUUUUUGGCCAUUUGUGAUUCUCUGAUCUGUCUUGUAGAAGAUGCGAUAUAUGGCUAUUGUACAGAAGACUUGUAUACAAUUCCUUUUGUUUUAAAAAAAUUAUAUUAAAAUUGGGGCAACUAGAAAUCUUUUCAGAGGACGGUUUUGCACAGGCUAAACUCGGUUGACAGAAAGUACCCUAUUGAUGAUUUUUAGUUAUCUCUUAUUCUCAUGUUUGAAAUGCAUGAAAUGCUUAAGAAUGCAUACAUUUGAUGCCUUUCACUCUAUAGUGGGGAAGUGAUUUAUCCCAAUUUAAAUUAAGUAGUUAUGUUAUUCCACUCUUAUGAUACGUGCUCCUUGACAAACUUCUUGUUUGAACCUUGUGUCAGGGUUGGAAAGAUAUCUUUGGUUUUAACCUUGCAGCCAUGGAUCAUAUACAGCAAUUGAUGGCUUCGAGAUCAGAUGCUCUAUUCCGGGAUGCAAGAUCAAAAUUGCUGGAGAUACGGGCUCGACAAUCCAAACGUUUACAAGACUGGUCAGAUACUGGAGAAAUGAUUCUGAAGAAGAAAAAGAAGACAUAGAGUAUUGUGUUUGUUUUGGACAUGAUCUUGUGCUGGAUUAUGUUAGUGGUAUGUGUAUUUCAAUCACUAAGCAGAGAUUAAGCGCAUUGGAAAAUAUACAUAGCAAUGAAGUAUUGCAGAUUCAGAGCUAAGUUGUCACACACCUUUAGCGAAAGGAAAAUGAUAAUAGAAGUUUGAUCCCCAGAAAAAGGUCAUCCUCGUCAACACAAAUCCUUUUAAAAGAAGAUUGUUGUUCAAUCUGCAGCUUAUCUUGAUGACAAGUAAAUAUCAUCAUUUGAAGAGCAAGGUUUUCCUAGUAUUUUAUUAGCUGAUGUGGGUGACUUAGAAAAGGUAGUUAGUUUAUGAAGUUGUUGUACGUGUAACCAUUAAGAUUUAUUUAUAAAUUUAAUACGGCUUUCUUCCCUCGUCGCUGAUUUAUUCUUUUGGUGAGUAAAAUUUUCCUUUGUUUUGCUUCAAGUUUUGAUCUCUCUCCCUCUAGGUAAAUGAAGUUUGUUAGAUAAUUUAUUGGCAUGGCGAGGAUAAUUUAUUCUAACAUUGGGUCUUGUACUAUGACCUACUUUGUUUUUAAUGCUUUUUACAUUUUAUUUUA